UACGUAGGGUGCGAGCGUUAAUCGGAAUCACUGGGCUUAAAGGGCGCGUAGGCGGGUGGCCGCGUCCGCGGUGAAAUCCCCCGGCUCAACCGGGGAAGGGCCGCGGGUACGGGCGACCUCGAGGCGGGUAGGGGCGUGCGGAACACUGGGUGGAGCGGUGAAAUGCGUUGAUAUCCAGUGGAACUCCGGUGGCGAAGGCGGCACGCUGGACCCGAUCUGACGCUGAGGCGCGAAAGCCAGGGGAGCGAACGGG
rnacentral:rRNA from 1 species